UGUCCGCCCGGGAACUACGAGCUCUAGCUUAAAACCCAAAGGACUUGGCGGUGCUUAAGACCCCCCUAGAGGAGCCUGUUCUAUAACCGAUAACCCCCGUUCAACCUCACCUUCCCUUGCCUUAACCGUCUAUAUACCGCCGUCGUCAGCUUACCCCGUGAAGGCUUCAAAGUAAGCACAACUGACACAACCCAAAACGUCAGGUCGAGGUGUAGCACAUGAGAAGGGAAGAAAUGGGCUACAUUCUCUGCACCAGAGUAAACGAAAAAUGAGCUGAAAACACCAUUAGAAGGAGGAUUUAGUAGUAAGGCGUAAACAGAGUGCACGCCUGAAGCUGGCCCUAAAGCACGCACACACCGCCCGU
rnacentral:rRNA from 1 species